UCAACAGUUUUGUUCUUUAGAUAAAAGCUACCAUGGACGCUUUGAUGUCUUUGACGGCUAUGAUAGAUAAAGGAAUUGGAAGAUGUGUACUGAAAAGCUGUAUUUUAAGUGUUGGUGCAACAAGGGAAUAUUUCUAUGUGACGCUGAUCCUCGAGUAACUUGGAUACAUAUAGAUGUAAAUGAAACUUGGAUGUACGGUGGAUGUUGACAAGUAAAUUAAUGUUGAUGUAAUGUAAGGAGAAAGGAAACAAUGGCUGACAAUCUUAUGCAGUCACCCGAGAACUGGACUGAAUCUCAAGUGAGCACCUGGCUACGAACACUUGGUGUGAAAGAACACUACAUAAAGAAGCUCUUUGAAGAAGAAGUAGAUGGACCAGUCCUUCUUACACUCGAUGAGGACUUCUUGAUAACAAAGAUUGGCAUGAAAUUUGGGCCUACUCAUAUGAUUAUCAAAAAAAUAAAAGAGUUCCUCAAUUCCAA